rnacentral:rRNA from 1 species
CCCUUAGAUGUUCUGGGCCGCACGCGCGCUACACUGAUGAACGCAACGAGACCACCUGUACCGAAAGGCAUGGGUAAACUUGUGAAAGUUCAUCGUGAUGGGGAUAGAUUAUUGCAACUAUUAAUCUUCAACGAGGAAUGCCUAGUAAGCGCGAAUCAUCAGUUCGCGUUGAUUACGUCCCUGCCCUUUGUACACACCGCCCGUCGCUCCUACCGAUUGAAUGGUCCGGUGAAAAUUUCGGAUACCGGCGUUGCUGGCGGUUCGCCGCCGGCGACGCUGGUAGAAGAUCUUUAAACCUUAUCAUUUAGAGGAAGGAGAAGUCGUAACA